CUCACACUCCCGGCCCCCGACUCGCUGGCCUCCUGGGUCCGCCAGUCCGGGAAGGAGCCUGUCGGAUCAGGGGACCCAUCUCACACCCCGGCUUGAGGGACCCCACCCCAGACUCCGGACUCCUGGGACUGCCAGCCCAGGAAGGAGCGUGUCAGGAAGCCAGCUGCCAUGUUGUGAGCUGUCCAUGUGGAAAGAAUUGAUGUGUCCAGACAAAAGCCAGCAAGGACCCCAACCCAGCCAACGGUUUAAAUGAGUGCGUCUGCAAGAUGAUUAUCCUCCCAUAAAGCCUUCAGGUGAAUGUCGCACUGGCUAACAACCUGCCUGCAGCCUUGUGGGAAUUGAGGCACCCAGCUAAGCCACACCUGGACUCCUUACCCGAAGACUCUUUUGUUCCAAGUGGACUACUCAUCCAUGUUCUCUACACUAAGACUGUUCUCAGAUGGAUAGUAAAGCUGAAUUUGCUCACCAAUAAAGUCGCAUCACCUCACAUUUAUGCAGAUGAGCUGGAAAGCCACAGUUCUAACUCAACAUUUUGGAACCGAGUUUUAAACCACUGCUGGCCAAACCUCACUGGCUACCUGUAAGCUACCUCGAUGGGUGUCUCCUGGCCUCCUUCUAUGCACUGUUUUAUUCAGAGCUGACCCUGAUGACUCUUCAAUGUUCCCAAACAAUGUUUUUUCAACACCUGGGAUGAACCAGGCACCGUGCUAAGCACAUCUUACGGAUUAACCAGUUUAAAGGAUCCCAAUGCAAGUUUUUAUAUGAGGAGUGAUCUGUAUUUACACUUU